rnacentral:rRNA from 1 species
GAGUAACACGUGGGCAACCUGACCCAAAAGAGGGGGAUAACACUUGGAAACAGGUGCUAAUACCGCAUAACCAUAGUUACCGCAUGGUAACUAUGUAAAAGGUGGCUAUGCUACCGCUUUUGGAUGGGCCCGCGACGCAUUAGCUAGUUGGUGGGGUAAAGGCUUACCAAGGCAAUGAUGCGUAGCCGAACUGAGAGGUUGAUCGGCCACAUUGGGACUGAGACACGGCCCAAACUCCUACGGGAGGCAGCAG